rnacentral:sRNA from 1 species
UGAUAGCUACUCCCUCAAUACGACGAUC